ensembl:snRNA U6 U6 spliceosomal RNA
GUGUUUGCUUCUGCAGCACAUAUACUAAAAUUGGAACCAUACAGAGAUUAGCAUGGCCCCUAUACAAGGAUGACAAGCAGAUUUGUGAAGCAUUAUAUGUUUUU